UGAGGAAACCCAAGGCACAGAGGAGGAGGUGAGAUACUGAGAACUGCUCAAGCAACCCAGGAAAAGAAGUCCACCAGGCAUUCCACGUGUCAGCUUGGGCUCCCUCCCUACUGUGUGACAGCAUCAUUCGCAGAAAUGAUAAGGCUAAAGGAGCAAGAGGAAAGAUGCAGAAAUGGGUGUACAUUGCUAUUCAGCCUUGAAUCAAGGUACCUUUGCUCCAGCAGCCUGCCUCCCACCACAAGCAUUUCUGGAGGCCAUACAAGAACUCUGGUACAUGUAAAUGUAAGGUUCCCUGGAUACGUUCUUCCAGAGCUUGAAUUGUGUUCCAUCAAUGUUUCUACUGCUCUUGAUCAAGACAAGGAAACCACCUCAAAUUACAACUGGAAGUCAGUUUAAGAAGUUGUUCUCUCAUGUUUUCUUUCAAGGUGAGUACAAAUUUAUGUUCUGAGAAGCUUAAUUAAUGUUAACUGCCUAUGGAGA
rnacentral:lncRNA from 1 species